GACAGAGGAUGCAAGCGUUAUCCGGAAUGAUUGGGCGUAAAGCGUCUGUAGGUGGCUUUUUAAGUCCGCCGUCAAAUCCCAGGCUCAACCCUGGACAGGCGGUGGAAACUACCAAGCUGGAGUACGGUAGGGGCAGAGGGAAUUUCCGGUGGAGCGGUGAAAUGCGUAGAGAUCGGAAAGAACACCGACGGCGAAAGCACUCUGCUGGACCAAUACUGACACUGAGGAGCGAAAGCCAGGGGAGCAAACGGG
rnacentral:rRNA from 1 species